AGCGAACGCUGGCGGCAGGCUUAACACAUGCAAGUCGAGCGGGCAUCCUUGUGGUGUCAGCGGCAGACGGGUGAGUAACGCGUGGGAACGUGCCCUUCGGCUCGGAAUAACCCAGGGAAACUUGAGCUAAUACCGGAUACGUGCGAGAGCAGAAAGGUUUAUCUGCCGAAGGAUCGGCGCGCGUCUGAUUAGCUAGUUGGUGAGGUUAUGGCUCACCAAGGCGACGAUCAGUAGCUGGUCUGAGAGGAUGAUCAGCCACACUGGGACUGAGACACGGCCCAGAAUCCUACGGGAGGCAGCAGUGGGGAAUAUUAGACAAUGGAGGCAACCCUGAUCCAGCCAUGCCGCGUGAGUGAUGACGGGCUUAGGGUUGUGAAGCUCUUUUCUCCGGGGCGAUAAUGACGGUACCGGAGGAAUAAGCCCCGGCUAACUUCGUG
rnacentral:rRNA from 1 species